AUCUUAAGUAAAAUCUAAAACUCUACUUGUUUUUCCAUGUCAUCGUCUAAUUCUACAAGAUCAUUAUGGGGCCAAAAGAUCCAAUUUGAUCCACCAUGCCUAAAACCAAUUUGAUAUACUGAAGUCCCUAAAC